rnacentral:rRNA from 2 species
CCAGAAAGCCACGGCUAACUACGUGCCAGCAGCCGCGGUAAUACGUAGGUGGCAAGCGUUGUCCGGAUUUAUUGGGCGUAAAGCGAGCGCAGGCGGUUUUUUAAGUCUGAUGUGAAAGCCUUCGGCUCAACCGAAGAAGUGCAUCGGAAACUGGGAAACUUGAGUGCAGAAGAGGACAGUGGAACUCCAUGUGUAGCGGUGAAAUGCGUAGAUAUAUGGAAGAACACCAGUGGCGAAGGCGGCUGUCUGGUCUGUAACUGACGCUGAGGCUCGAAAGUAUGGGUAGCAAACAGGAUUAGAUACCCUGGUAGUCCAUACCGUAAACGAUGAAUGCUAAGUGUUGGAGGGUUUCCGCCCUUCAGUGCUGCAGCUAACGCAUUAAGCAUUCCGCCUGGGGAGUACGGCCGCAAGGCUGAAACUCAAAGGAAUUGACGGGGGCCCGCACAAGCGGUGGAGCAUGUGGUUUAAUUCGAAGCUACGCGAAGAACCUUACCAGGUCUUGACAUACUAUGCAAAUCUAAGAGAUUAGACGUUCCCUUCGGGGACAUGGAUACAGGUGGUGCAUGGUUGUCGUCAGCUCGUGUCGUGAGAUGUUGGGUUAAGUCCCGCAACGAGCGCAACCCUUAUUAUCAGUUGCCAGCAUUAAGUUGGGCACUCUGGUGAGACUGCCGGUGACAAACCGGAGGAAGGUGGGGAUGACGUCAAAUCAUCAUGCCCCUUAUGACCUGGGCUACACACGUGCUACAAUGGAUGGUACAACGAGUUGCGAACUCGCGAGAGUAAGCUAAUCUCUUAAAGCCAUUCUCAGUUCGGAUUGUAGGCUGCAACUCGCCUACAUGAAGUCGGAAUCGCUAGUAAUCGCGGAUCAGCAUGCCGCGGUGAAUACGUUCCCGGGCCUUGUACACACCGCCCGUCACACCAUGAGAGUUUGUAACACCCAAAGUCGGUGGGGUA